AUGUGUUCCCCUUAAAGCGCCCCAACUGGAACCCAAACACUCCUGACAGUAGGCAGCAUUUGUCCAUCUAUCGCCAGACUCUAAUGGCGGGUCUCCAGGCGGCUGCGAGGUGCCCUACCAAUUUGGCCAAGGCUCAUCGCUCUCGAGCGAAUACAAAAGAUCCUUUGGAGGCAACUGUCCACGGCCUACGCCCCCAUCAACUCGCCAACCCCUCACCCUUAUCAAGUGGGUAACUUCGUGCUGGUCCGCCGCCACCAAGUUGAAACCCUGCAGCCUCGCUGGAAAGGACCUUAUCAAGUGCUGCUGACUGCCCCCACCGCGGUUAAGGUCGAUGGCAUCGCUCCCUGGAUACAUGCGUCGCACCUGAAGCCUGCCUCCCCGCCUCAGGAUAACAACUGGACCUUAGAACGAACUGGUAACUCCCUCAAAAUUCGAUUUCGAAGGACAACACCUGUCUAAGGAGCCAAGAUACCCUCAUGUUACUCUGUUACCCAGAUGGCUUCGCUGUCAUCAUUGUCUCUGUUACCCUUGUGCUGGCCAUAGGAUUGUGGGUCACAUUUCCCUCAGACCUAGGCCAUCUUGCAAAAAUUAGUCUCCUCUCCCUAUUCUUUGGCAUAGUAACCCUGUUCUCUUACCUAAACUGCCUGGUGGUGCCAGUGGAAAUUAGGCUUCUUGAAUAGAACCUCUCAUGAUGCCCCAGAUACUUGCCCUGCUCAGCUCCGUUGCCAUUGCUGUGAUCCUGCUAUUCCCCCCAUGCAAUGGCAACCCACAUGCAUCGCUGACAUGGAGGGUCUACCAGAGCCAUGACAAAAAUUACUCUGGGACCAAGCUAUUAGCUCAAUGGAAACAGGAAAGCCCACUUUUGAAAUAAGUCUGUGCUCGGCAAUCCCUGACACUAGCUGCGAGGGUGAUUUCCAUGUAUAUCUCUGCCCCCUCGAGGGAACUCCUACCUAUUGUAGGUCCCCCUCUGAGUUCUGGUGCCCCUACUGGGAUUGUGUAACCCUGGCCUCUGGAUGGAUGCCCCCCUUGAUAGACCAUCACUUGUCCAUUCAGAGGGCUUGGAAAAAGAGGAAAGCUUGAUACUCUAAUUAUAACAGUUUUAGCCCCCAAUGACCCCCACUGGGGCCAGAUGCAGGCUUGGGGCAUCCAGGCCUAUUUAUCAGGUACUGACCCAGGUAAUGUCCUCUUCAUAUCUAAAGGUCCCGUCUGGACCCUACCAUCAGAAACUGACCUGGGUGAACCCAUCAUCCUACCUACACCUAGGCCUUCCCCUCAGGGAGACAGGACACUCCCAAAGGUAGAAACUACACUCAAAGAUAGCACCAUUGUUACACUUAAAACCCAAAAACAAAGGCCAAAAUCACCCCUUACCCCUCAGAGCCCUUCCCCUCUCCCGGUUACUAUGAAACCCCAUCGCCCCUCUCUAGGUGAUAACUUACUCAAGCUGGUCCAAGGAGCAUAUAUUGCCUUAAAUCAUACCCAGCCUAACCUCACACGAUCAUGUUGGCUAUGCUUAAGUUCCAUGUCCCCAUACUAUGAGGGAAUUGCAGUUAAUGAGGCCUUUAUAAGAACAACAGACCAAAGCAAAUGCUCCUGGGGAAAAAACUACUCUAUUAACCUUUUAGAGGUUUCAGGAAGUGGGACAUGUCUCGGAAAACCCUCAAACCGCCAACUAAAAUUCAGAGAGUUUGUAAGACUUCACGUUCUUCCUUUAGUCCAAACCAAUAUCUUAUCCCAGCCCCGGAAACUGGGCAUGCAAGUCGGGAUUCACAUCCUGCAUAGCUGCUGACGCCUUUGACUCCAAUCAUGAUCUUUGUGUGAUGGUAAAGAUUUUUCCCCAUAUCUCAUAUAGACCUGGCCCCUUCUGGACCCACUGCCUGGCCAAAGAACUAAACGAGACCCAAUGACUGUGACCCUAGCUGUACUUUUGGGGAUGGGGGUUACAGCAGGGGUAGGAACAGGAACUGCUGCAUUGAUUAAGGGGCAACAACACUUCCAUCAGUUGCGAGCCUCAAUAAAUGAAGACUUAAAACAAAUAGAGGCUUCUAUAACAGCCUUGCAAACCUUUUUAACCUCCUUAUCUGAGGUGGUCCUACAAAACAGGAGGGGACUAGACCUACUCCUCCUAAAGGAGGGUGGCCUAUGUGCCGCUCUAAAAGAAGAGUACUGUUUUUACGUUGAGCAUUCAGGCAUAGUAAAAGACGCCAUGCCCAAAGUCAGAGAAAAUAUCAAAACUAGAGAAAAAGAAUACUCUUUGGAGACAUCCUUCCCUUCCCUAUGGCAAGGGCUAGCUCCUUAUGUUAUUCCCCUCUUAGGCCCUUUAGCUGCUUUGCUCCUACUCUUUACCUUUGGCCCUUGCGUUCUAAACAAGAUCACACAUCUGGUGCGAUCACAGGUCUCCCAGGUAAAGAUGAUGGUCUUGAGAUACCAAUAUGACCCAAUACCUACUAAUAAUCUCUAGGAUUAGAGAUCCUCACAAAAAAAGGGGGGAAUGAAGAGUAAAAACAUUCAGGAAACCCCUCUUGCCUUGUCACACGGUCAGAACAACUAGAUGUUCUGGCCUGAUAGGGAAGUUGUGGUCCAACAUCCCCAAAAAUAAGAGCACCGUGAACUAUCCACCCUGCCAGACAGGAUAUGAGUUUUCAAAAACAUCAAGCCACCUGCAGCAGAUAGCUCACCCACCAGUAAGCAAAUGAUACAACCCCUAUUAACCACUGCCAUCUGCUUCUGUAACCGAUGCUUGCUUUGCGGCUUUUGGCUUUAUAUACUCUGCACUUCCCUACCCGGACACUCUUUCACUCCCCUCUCCCCACCGGAGUGUGGUCAGAGGGUCCCUCGCAUGCACGGACAAUAAAACCCCUUGAUUUUUCAUGA